UACUUAUGAUGAGGACACAUACUCAACAACUCCUUAAAUCUCUCCUAAGACUGAUACAAAGUCUCAUUGUCUUUUUGUGUAAAAGUGGAGAUUUACCUUUUUAAAGCG